GGUGGCGGAAUUGGUAGACGCGUCAGACUUAAAAUCUGAUGGCCGCAAGGCCGUGGGGGUUCGAGUCCCCCCCUGCCC
rnacentral:tRNA from 1 species